rnacentral:rRNA from 1 species
UACGUAGGGUGCAAGCGUUGUCCGGAAUUAUUGGGCGUAAAGAGCUCGUAGGUGGUUUGUCGCGUUGUUCGUGAAAUGCCACAGCUUAACUGUGGGCGUGCGGGCGAUACGGGCAGACUGGAGUACUGCGGGGGAGACUGGAAUUCCUGGUGUAGCGGUGGAAUGCGCAGAUAUCAGGAGGAACACCGGUGGCGAAGGCGGGUCUCUGGGCAGUAACUGACGCUGAGGAGCGAAAGCAUGGGGAGCGAACAGG